GCCCCCGUGCUGGCACCCGCCCUCCGGAGGCGGGUGCGCAGGUUCGAAUCCUGCCGGGGGCG
rnacentral:tRNA from 1 species